GCCAACCUCUCUAAUAAGCCCACUUCUCUAAUAAGCCCACCUCUCUAAUAAGCCCACCUCUCUAAUAAGCCCACCUCUCUAAUAAGCCCACCUCUCUAAUAAGCCCCCUUUUUAAUUAGCCCACCUCUCUAAUAAGCCCCCCUAUAUAAUAAGCACCCUCUCUGACAAGCCACUUCUCUAAUAAGUCCACCUCUCUAAUAAAUCCAUCUCUCUAAUAAGUCUCCUUUCUGAUAAGCCCAUCUUCUCUGAAAAACCCAUCUUUAAAAGUGCCCUGUUUAAUACGCCCCCCCCCCC